rnacentral:tRNA from 1 species
UAGGGAGACCUAAACCCAAGACCUUGAGGAUGCAACUAAGCCCAAGGGAUUGAGGUCAACCUAGGUCGGUCGGAGACUCGUCGAAGCUUUCAAACGAUUAAGAGGUUAGGAACCCGAGGGAAUCAGAGAAAUGUGAAGAACUCGGACAAGAGACCAACCUUGAAAUGGGCUAUUAGCUCAGGUGGUUAGAGCGCACCCCUGAUAAGGGUGAGGUCCCUGGUUCAAGUCCAGGAUGGCCCACCUAAACCUUAGUGCUGUCAGUGGCGGUCAUUAAGAAAAUGGGGGUAUAGCUCAGUUGGUAGAGCGCCUGCUUUGCAAGCAGGAUGUCAGCGGUUCGAGUCCGCUUACCUCCAUGCUGGUCUCACCCCAAAAAAUUCCUAAAGCCAAAAGCUAAAGAUAACUCAGCACCUGAGAAAGACUCAGACUGCUGGGACAUCCCAGCGAGAACCUUGAAAACUGCAUAGUCAACCUAAAAAAAGUCAGGUGAAGUCGAGACCUCAAAAAGAU